GGAGCGGCCGAUGCCUGAUUAGCUAGUUGGUGGGGUAAAGGCCUACCAAGGCUACGAUCAGUAGUUGGUCUGAGAGGACGACCAGCCACACUGGGACUGAGACACGGCCCAGACUCCUACGGGAGGCAGCAGUGGGGAAUUUUGGACAAUGGGCGAAAGCCUGAUCCAGCAAUGCCGCGUGAGUGAAGAAGGCCUUCGGGUUGUAAAGCUCUUUCAGUCGAGAAGAAAAGGUUGUGACUAAUAAUCACAACUUAUGACGGUAUCGACAGAAGAAGCACCGGCUAACUACGUGCCAGCAGCCGCGGUAAUACGUAGGGUGCAAGCGUUAAUCGGAAUUACUGGGCGUAAAGGGUGCGCAGGCGGCUUUGUAAGUCAGAUGUGAAAUCCCCGGGCUUAACCUGGGAAUU
rnacentral:rRNA from 1 species